CUCCUGAACCGCAGCAUAUCCAGUUAGUAAUUCCCCUCAAAGCCUUCUUCCGAACUUGUCAACAACAAUAUUCUCUGAAGGCUCCUUCACCCUGUACAAUUUUAAUUAAGAAACGACAUGACAAAUUAUCAAUACUGCAAAGAAUGACAAAACGACUGGUUGCCUUGGCUAAAGUUAAAUUUGCAGUUGCGUGCUAACAUACAUGAGGUCGUCAGAAUCCGUUCGUGCAUUUCUAAUGAAGGAACACCUCCGCUGCGAAAUAAUAGGUCAAAGGUUCGAGUCAUGUAAAAAAUAACGGCACCACUAUGAUUCUUGUUGAUGGGGGAGGAAGGAAAACAACUUUCUAAAUCAAAGUUAGGGAGGUUGUUUUCGAUAGACCCUCAGCUCAAGGAAAAAUAAUUCAAAGCAGUUCGGAAAAGGAAGUAAUGGAAAUGAAGAAAGCUCACAUCAAAGCUUGAAGGGCUUCAAAUUUAAGGUCCAUGGUCCCUAUAACUAUGAGGAGAGUAUUUUAACUCAAAAUUCUGAAUUUACUCUAGCAGUAAUCUCCAAAUAAAAUAUUUACAUGAAUCUAUAAACUGCACAGCGUGUAAAGUACUCAUUCACAAGUGGGCUUUGACGAGUAGAUAUUCAAGCAAAAUAUUGUGCAAUGUAUUCUGAUGCACACUUCCCUGCCCAAUCAAAGAGGCAUGUAGCAGCACCAAUUAAAAAGCAUACAACCCAUAUCUUCCAGUUCAGUCGCAAAGUGUCACUAAAUAGAGGUGCUGCCUGACCACAUGCCAACUGCAAAAGAAUAAGAACUCCAAAUGCUGCCCAAAGCAAAUAAUUACAACAACCAAUGAAGAUGUUCUUCUUCUCCGGCUCUCGGGCGCAUAAAAUGCUGAAAAAUUGGCAGAAAGCAAGCCCGUUGAAUAUUAUGGAUUUACAAACCUGUUGAUUACUGAUUCCAUGGAUGUUUCUUCCUUUGCAUAGAAGGGCCACAAAUAUGACAAUCUGGUAAGUAACUUGAAUUAUAACAUUCCUCCACAUGGCCUUCGUUAUUAGGGGUUUGCUACAUGUUUUGAUGUCAGAGAGACGACGUCGUUCAUCCUCCAGUUUUUUUGAGGAUUGUCCUGAGAACAAUGCUAGGCCUCCAGGAAACGUAAUAAGAAAGUUGAGCCAGAUUAAUUGAAGAGCCGUUAAUGGAGCAUCUCCCAUAAUCAUUACUGUUAUCAAGUUUAUUACCCAACUAGCAAGAGUCAGAAUGAGCUCUAUUUGGAUAAAUUUCCUCACAUUCCCACUAAUAAAUCUUCCAAGCUUCAACAUACCUAUCACGUAAUCGAAACUCCAAGUAUCUAUGUACAUGCCAAAGUCUGCCUUUUGGAUUACUAGACCAUCAAACGUGCGUUCUCCAAGCAUUAGAACCACUUCCCCUUUUAGCUUCAAGCAUUUUACGAGAAGAAGCUUGUGAGGAAGGGAGGCAUUUCCCACAAUGCAGAUUCUAUCUAUUUUCUCCAUCUUGUCCGCAUCGGUGAGUUCAUGAAAAUCCUCACCAUUAACCACCAGAGCAUCGUCCGAGUCAGUGUUAUUAAUCAAUCCAACUUCACGGAUGAUGUUUUUAAAUUCAUCAGCAUCAUCUUCGGAGACGAAUAUUGUCUUCACUUCACCUUCUGUGAGAGUUUUAACAGCAAUAUCUCUGAUAAUUUCCUGAUGAUUUUGCUGUGUUAACCAACCAUUCUUUACAGAACAAACAAUAGUAACCGAUGCCUCUAACUUGAGAAGCAAUGCUGUAUCAAUUUUGGAAUAGUCCUUGUAGGAUACUAUCUUUCGUUUCCAACAGACGAUUGCUCUAGAAACAACAAGAGAUAAUCCUUCCGUCAUCCCCACCAAUGAGACACACAGCAGGGUUCUUAAUUUGGAAUCUCUAGAAACUUUUGUGAUGGAAUUUACUAUCUGACUAAAUUUGGCUGGUUCUUUCUCAAUUUCUAGUUCGUAUUCAUGCUCUUCAUCUGUUUGCCGUAAUUUAAAGCGCACGAACAAAACCACAAAGCUUAGAAUGCUAAUGACAAGCCCAGCUACAUUAAUUUUAAUGCGCAACUUCUCAAAACAAGCAUCAAAACCGAAACCUGUAUGUGAAGUACUUUUGGUAAUUGCUUGUCUCAUUCUUUCAGUCCACUGAUCUGCCUCAUCACCAACACAUGAUGUCGCUAUCAUCUUAGCGUCACCCUUAAUCACUUUGGAACCAAGUGAUAAAAAAGGGUUCUGUUCAUUGAUACACAGCUCCACAUCAUCGUCGUCAUCAUCAUCUCGUACCUCUAAAGCUUCCCCACAAUUAGAAACAAAUAUCCCAUUUGCAGGGACUAAGUCUCCACUUCUUAAAAAAAUUAUAUCACCAUAAACAAGAUCAGAGAAUGGAACCACAUCCUCAACUCCUCCUCUAAUAACACGGACCUUCUUUGUCUCCCGAUGCAUCUUCACUUUUCGCUCCUCCAUCUUCUUCAUCAAUAUUUUGUCUUCCCAAUAUAUCCGCCCAAACUUAAGCAUAAUAAGUCCAAGUACGGACAUAAGUAGAAUCAGAUUGUCAAGCCAACAAUUCUGUAUCCCCUCUUCGUCAAUUCCAAAGGCACAGGAAAGUAUUGUAGCCACUGCAAGCAAGGAAAUAGUCCAGCCUUUGACUGCCUCAAACAACAAGUAGAAGAACAUGAAUACAACAGGUACACAUGUCUGAGGAAACUUGAUCAUUGCGUCGCGCAGGCGAAUAUCUUCAGUGGCACCAGCAAUUCCAUUUUCCAGGUGACUAUCCAAUGCUUCAGCAAAUCCAAUGACUCCUCCGAAGUCAUAAAGUUCAUCCCAGUUCUUCUCUUGGACAAUACGGUUAAUGUAGUUCCUUUGGAGAACUUGCAUCUCACCACAACUUUCGUCAUCCGGAGGCUCAAGUUCUGCAUCAUCAUCAGUAAUUGGUCCACUUUCUAAAUCCUGUCGAAACACCAGAGUAAUUGAUCAGUUAGUUACUUCACCACUGGAGAAAAUUAGCAAAGAAAGAUAUAUUUUUUUAAAGUGGUGGCUACAGAUAAGCAUGAGUUCUGUAGAUAUUUGACAGGCAUGAAGCCUGUCCAUAAUUCUUCUACUUGAAGAUCCAUUUGGCCCCUUGGAUGGAGGGGAGAUAUAGCCUAAUUUUAUUUUAUUUAGGUUUUGAUUCCUAUUUGAAAUUCGUUUUGGCUUUAAGAGAAGAGCCAUUUAUUAUCUAUAAAGAGAGUAACCUUUGAGAAUUAUUUCAUGGUCAUUGGUAUCAGUUUUAAAAGACUUUAGCACAUAAGAUAGGUGUUAAGAUAUGAAAUAGAACUCUGAAAGGGUAAUUUUGUAAUUUCAUACAGUAAGUUAGUUAGCUAUAACUAAUUGUCCUAGAGUUAGUUAGAUUAGGAGUUAAGUGUAGCUAGUUAUCAACAAACUAUCAAAUUAUAUAAGGCCUUAUGUUUGAAUGGGAUUAAUUACAAUUACAAUAUAUGAAAAAGCAAGGCGAGAGAUCUACUAUUUCUGAAGAGGAUGCAUUUGUCCACUUUUGCUGCUCAUAAACUUGAGUCUUUGACCGAUGAAAGUGGAGAUUUUGAGCACCACAAGUCGGUGGAUAUAUAAGACAAUGAGGUCAAGGCAAUGGUCGUAAUAAAUGAGAUACAUAUUAGAUCAUUGUGGUAACAGUGAAAGACACUUCAUGCUUAAAAAACUAGCAAUAACAAGUCUUCCUGCUAAAGCAAUUGAUGAGCUUGAAAUACAAGGAGGUGGCAGUCCUAUUAUUGAUCAUAUAAAUAAUUUUUAAGGUGUUACUCACCAGAAUGAGUGUUAAUUUUGAUGAUGAGAUACAAGGACUUUGGCUUCUUAAUACUCUACGGAUUUUUUGAGAAACUUCAUGUUUCUUUGAGAAAUUCAGCUCCCUACAGUAAGGUAACCAUGUAAUAUGCAAAGAGCGGUGUGUUGAAUAAAAAAGUAAGGAGAAAAUUUCGAGGUUCGUCCUCACAGUCAGAUGUUCUAUUUUUAGAAGACUGAGGGAGAGAUAAAACAAAAGGUCCAAGAAAUAGAGGUAAAAGCAUAAGCAAAUAAAAGUCCAGGUAACUGAAAUAUUUGAGCAAUCAUUGUGGCAAGAAGACAUAACAAAUAAUGUUACACAAGCUUAAGCAAGAAAUUAGAGAAGAAAAGAGAACUGAAAAUAAUGGAAACAAUGUCAUUGCUGUAAUUUGAGAUGACCUUUUCUUUGUCUGUGAUGGACAUUCUAUAAAUUUGAUAUCUAAAGAGACCUAUUGAAUAGUGGAUUCUGGAGCUAUAUCUCAUAUCACGUCUAAGAAAUACUCUUUUUCAUUUUAUGUUCCUAAUGAUUUUGGAGUGUAAGUGAUGAACGAUGUUGGUGAGGUUAAAGUGAUUGAUGUUGGUACAAUUUUUGUCUUGCUUUUUCAUAUGUUGUGAUUAUUCCUAUUUCAAAAAAGGGGCCAAAUAUACCCCUUGUUAUACUUUCGAUUCAAAUAUACCCUUUGCUGCUAUACUUUCGGUGAAAAUAUGCCCUCAUCUGUUAAGACUGUCCAAGGUGAACACCAGGUUUGAUGUGGCAAUGACAACUCGGUGAGUUGGAUACCAUGUGGCAUGACACCUUAUCACGUCAACCCAUUUAGCCUCCUCUUCCCGCCACCUGUCUCCCCCGCUUGCGCCGACAGUGGUAGCGGCGGGGAUGAUUCAUAUUCACUCAGCUGUUUUUGCCCUUCCGACGAUCUUUCCCUCCGUUCCGUUGGAUUGUAACGUCGUGGUGAUGGACUUCAAAGCCCUGCUUGGGGAGCUCUGGUGAACCAUCAUCAACUCUCUGAUUGUCACAGUGCACUUUGAAGUGGUUGUCCAAUCAAUAGGGAAUUAAAAUGCUUCUCGCAAGAUUCCUCACUUCCAGGUCCACUUCUCUGAGUGUUUCCUCUUUAAUUCCUAUAUUUUCUCAUUCAAUUUCAUCACUACCAUGUUCUAAACCACCUGUAGAAAUUCGCCACUAAUUUUGACGAAACUCAUGUCCUAAAUCAACUUUCCGACCUUUUAUCCAUCUGUUAAUCAGUGACAAGUUAGGGUUUUGGAUGAGCUUUCAACUCCCGGAGAGUUGAUUAUGGUUCACUAGAGCUCUCUAAGCAGGUCUUUGAAGUCCGCCACCACAGCGUUACAAUCCAAAGGAACGGAGGGAAAGAUUGUCGGAAGGGGAAAACGGUUGAGUGACAUUCCAUCGUCAUUGCUGCUACCUCUGUUGCCGCAAGUAGAGUAGGCAGGUGGCAGGAAAGAGAGGGAUAUAUGAGUUGACGUGGUGAGGUGGCAUGCCACGUGGUUUUCACCUCACCGAGUUGUCAGUACCACACUAGACCUUGUGUCCACCUUAGACAAUUUUAACGGAGAAGGUGUAUAUUUGGACCGAAAGUAUAACGACAAAGGUAUAUUUGAAUCGAAAGUAUAACGAGGGGUAUAUCUGGCUCCUUUCCGAUAGUACAUGGUAUAUAUGGCCCUUUUCCGUUCCUAUUUUAAACAUAUCUUACUGCUCAUAUUUGUGAAGAAGAUGCAUUAGCCAUUUUUCGCUGCUCCUCAUAAUAAAUCGAGUAUAUGAUUGAUGAAAAUUGGGUUUUGAGCACCAACAAGUAUGUGCAUGUAUAAGACAAUAGGAGAUAAUUUUUGUAACUAUAUUAUAAAUGAGAUACAUGCUAGAUCAUAGUGGAAAAAGUUGAAGACACUUUAUGCUGAAAAAACUAGCAAUAAAAAGUCUUCCUGCUAAAGCAAUUGAUGACCUUUAAAUACAAGGGGGUGGCAGUCCUAUUCUUGAUCAUAUAAGUAAUUUUCAAGGUUUCAUUAAAUUGUUGGGUAGAAUGGGUGUUAAUUUUGAUGAUAAGAUACAUAGACUUUGACUUCUUAAUGCUAUGCUAGAUUCUUUGAGAAACUCUUCAUGCUUCUUUGAGAAAUUCCUAUUGAUAAGGUAACCGUGGAGUAUAUCGAGAGUGGUAUGUUGAAUAUGAAAGCAAGGAGAAAAUCUCAAUGUUCGUCCUCACAGUCAGAUGUUUUAUUUAUAGCCAGAAAGAGAGAUAAAAUAAAAGGUCCGAGGAAUGGAGGUCAAAGCAUAAGCAAGUCAAGGUUUAGGUAACAAUUACAUGGAAAUGAAAGAAUCCGGAGUGAUUAAUGAAGAAAAUUCUGCAGAAUCAAAGGUGGCCCAAGUUUAUUGGUGCAAUGAUUGUGGCAAGAAAAUACAUACUAGAAUAUGCUUCAAUAAGCUUAAGCAAGACACUAGAGAAGGAAAGAGAGAUGUUCUUCUCUUUGCCUGUGAUGAAAAUGCCAUCAAUUUGGUAUCCCAAAAGAUUAGUUGGAUAGUAGAUUCUGGAGCUGCAUCUCAUAUCACGUCCUUUGAAGUGUAAAUGAUGAACAAUGCUGGUGAGGUUAAAGUGAUUAAUGUUGGCACAAUUUAUUUAAAGACUAAUAAGGGUUCGACGUUAGUUGCUCAAAACGUUAAACAUAUAUAUAUAUAUAUAUAUUUUUUUUUUAAAAAAAAAAAUUUGAUCUUGUUGGAAAACUAUAUGUUGAAGGUUAUUAUAAUGCCUUCUUUAAUGACCAAUGGAAGCUCACCAACGACUCGUUAGUUGUGAUUUGAGGAAGCUUAUGCAUCAAUUUGUCUCUUGCCGUUGCUAAUUGGAUGGUGAUAUUCCUGACAAAGUUUGAUUUGCCAAGAAUGUUUCUAAUGAUCACUUAAAAGUUAUUGGGUGUGAA